UACGUAGGCAGCGAGCGUUGUUCGGAAUUACUGGGCGUAAAGAGUGUGUAGGCGGUGCUCUAAGUUUCGGUGUGAAAUCUCCUGCUCAAACUGGGAGGGUGCGCCGGAAACUGGAGUGCUUGAGCGUGGGAGAGGAAAGCGGAAUUCCUGGUGUAGCGGUGAAAUGCGUAGAUAUCAGGAGGAACACCUGUGGUGUAGACGCUUCUGGACCAUAGCUGACGCUGAGACACGAAAGCGUGGGUAGCAAACAGG
rnacentral:rRNA from 1 species